UGGGGAAUAUUGGACAAUGGGCGCAAGCCUGAUCCAGCCAUGCCGCGUGAGUGAAGAAGGCCCUUUGGGUUGUAAAGCUCUUUCAGCGGGGACGAUGAUGACGGUACCCGCAGAAGAAGCCCCGGCUAACUUCGUGCCAGCAGCCGCGGUAAUACGAAGGGGGCAAGCGUUGUUCAGAUUUACUGGGCGUAAAGGGCGCGUAGGCGGAUGAUCAUGUCAGAGGUGAAAGCCCCGGGCUCAACCUGGGAAUUGCCUUUGAAACGGGUCGUCUUGAGGACGGGAGAGGAUGGUGGAAUACCCAGUGUAGAGGUGAAAUUCGUAGAUAUUGGGUGGAACACCGGUGGCGAAGGCGACCAUCUGGCCCGUAACUGACGCUGAGGCGCGA
rnacentral:rRNA from 1 species